AAAUAUCAGCAGGUAAUUCUGGGCAAUAUUAUCCUUGAACUUGUUUCAAAUACAAGGAAGAACCCAGACUGCCGACUGGUAUCAGG
rnacentral:pre_miRNA from 1 species